CUAUUGUUUUUGUAAGGAUUUUUAUUAGGGGUCCAAGCCAACAGGUUGGAUCCCUAUUGUUUUUGUAAGGAUUUUUCUUAUUAGGGGUCCAAGCCAACAGGUUGGAUCCCUAUUGUUUUUGUAAGGAUUUUUAUUAUUAGGGGUCCAAGCCAACAGGUUGGAUCCCUAUUGUUUUUGUAAGGAUUUUUCUUAUUAUUAUUCCUGCGCUAAAUGUGCUACCACAGCCCAAACCGUAAAUGGUGCCGACACGCCAAUUGCAUGACUUGAUCCAGGUCCGGCACCGCUACUCAGAUAACAAAAUCCAGACACGCCGGCCACUAGGUGGCGCUAUACCAAGGAAAGACGCGUUUGGGGCUAUAACUCCCACACCGAACCUCCCACAUUCAAAACCUUGU
ensembl:lncRNA